rnacentral:lncRNA from 1 species
CUAAUUUCCUUCACUGGUAUUGAUUGUUGUCCUUUUUUUUUUGAAGCUUAUUGUUGUCCUAAUUUGAGGAAUGUAUCUAGUCUAAUGGAGGACACUAGUCAUGUGGUUGAUGACAAUGGUUUGAGUUGCACUCUGCAAGUUAGGUGAGUUUGCAGUGAAUUUUCUUGGAUUAGGUCCCGUGAACGAAGCCUUAAUCCCAGUCCUGUAUGCAUGACUCUGACAACCAAGUGCACCCUUUGUGACAAACAGGUACUAAAGUUUUUUUUUGUUUGUUUGUUUUGCAUUAGAGUGGCAGUUUCUAAAGUUUAGGCAUCAGAAAUUAAGAAUGCAGUUUGCAGGAUUUUUCUUUAACAUGGUACUGGUUAUGAACAUGGAAUUUCUAGCAGAGGCGGAGGGUGGGAGCCGCCCUCCCCCAAAGGAAAGGGAUUAUCGCAUUUUUGGCUCUGCUUCUGGUAUCAUGAAGCAUUAUUUGAUGCACAGAUUCUUGUAGUUGUAGCCUUGUAGGUCCUGGUCUUCUGGUUGUGUUAUGUAUUUACAUCCACAAUACCUUCUAUUCAGUUUUCUUUUGUAGCCAUCAAUCAUGACUAGUUUGAUUUGGCAAUGAAAAUAUGUGGAGCUGUCAGUUUGUUGCAACAUAUAUGGUGCCAUCCAGGUAAAUAUAUGUUUUGUUUUUUUAGAAACACAAUACUGGCAGAGGCUCACACAUACACACAAUUCACCACACGCCCGCACAGAUUCAUGCCUAUGAAUACCUAUAUGUUUGUUCUAUGUGCAAUGCAGCAGUCACUCAGUUAGCAAAUGAAUUAUGCUCCUGCUAUUUCUGGAGCUUUCCUUGGUGAAGCAAAAUGGUGAAACCAUAGUUUUUCCAUAAUGUGUUCUUGUAGUAGUCUUCAGUGUUCAUUAUCUUCCCAUUAAUCAGUAAUGUAGCAUUCUAAGCUUGUCACUGAAUCGUUGUUAUUUUGACUGGAGGCGAUUUUCACAGCUGAAAGAUGCAACCGCUCGAUAUACCAUAUACAUAAAGUUUGAACUUAGCACAUCAUUACAACAGACUUUCAGUGAACUUGGUGUACAUGUCUAUACAUAUCCAAAAUUUAUCUGAGCACCAUGUGCAUCAAUUCUUGCUGUUUAGUGUUAUUAAUAUGCUGUGUUUAUCAGAUCUGAAAAUGAACAAGAUCUGAUACCUUUGUUGGAUGAUAAUGUGAACAUAAUUAUGCUCUAGCGGUUGUAAAAUUAG